UACGUAGGGUGCAAGCGUUUGUCCGGAAUUAUUGGGCGUAAAGGGCUCGUAGGCGGUUUGUCGCGUUCGGGAGUGAAAACACCGGGCUUAACUCGGUGCUUGCUUUCGAUACGGGCAGACUAGAGGUAUGCAGGGGGAGAACGGAAUUCCUGGUGUAGCGGUGAAAUGCGCAGAUAUCAGGAGGAACACCGGUGGCGAAGGCGGUUCUCUGGGCAUUACCUGACGCUGAGGAGCGAAAGUGUGGGGAGCGAACAGG
rnacentral:rRNA from 1 species